UACGUAGGCAGCGAGCGUUGUUCGGAAUUACUGGGUGUAAAGAGUGUGUAGGCGGUGUUCCCAGUCUGUUGUGAAAUCUCCCGGCUUAACUGGGAGGGUGCAGCGGAAACUAGAAUGCUAGAGGGUGGGAGAGGUAAGCGGAAUUCCUGGUGUAGCGGUGAAAUGCGUAGAUAUCAGGAGGAACACCUGUGGUGUAGACAGCUUACUGGACCACUUCUGACGCUGAGACACGAAAGCGUGGGUAGCAAACAGG
rnacentral:rRNA from 1 species